UUGUGUUUUAAUUUUUUAUUUUAUUUUUGUAAAAUGUUUUUAAUUUUUAUUUUUGUUUGAGUAAAUAUUUAAAAUUUGUUUUGUGAACUGGAUUAGUACCCAGGUAACCAAAAUUUAUUAAUUCGGGAGUAAAGUUGUAUUUAAACCGAAAGAAUAUUGACUGACUUUAGAUUUUUCUUUGGAAUAUGUGCUUGGAGAGCCCUCCUUAUUAGUUUAUUUUUUUUGGCUCAUGUAUGAUUGUUUUGUUAUUAUAUUAUAUAUAAUGCUUUAGACUUUUUUGUUUUAAAACAGAUAUAUAUUUGGCUUAUAAAUUUUUUUUGCAUGUAUUACUAUUAUUAAUUUUUUUUGGAUAUUUUUUUUAUUUUUUUUUGAAAUUGGAAAAGAAAGUAAUUGUAUUCUUUAGUGUUUUAAUGAAUUU
rnacentral:rRNA from 1 species